GUUACUUUCCCCCUCGCUCAUUUUCGUUUAUUGGUUGCUAUGGUAACACUUCCGGUAAUCAUUGAGGCAGCCGGUACAAAAGCGUAGUCCGCUCGCCGGCUCUUCCUCUGCUCCCAUUGUCGCCUGUCACUUUUAGUGUGAGGUCACGUCUCCGAUCGGGCGACUGGUUGGGUGCUGCUCCGUGCUGUGUGUGCACGCUGCUGUGGGUUGAUCGGCAGUGGUGCAUGCUGGCAGCUGCCUGAAGCUCUCUUCCUUUUCCUCUCGUGAGCGUUUGUUACUACAAGAAGGUGAUCUUAACCACCUAACGGCCGCUGCUGCUUUGUAGCCACUGAGUUUUGGUUCGUGUUGGUGGCCGCUGCGGGCUCGUGUGGCGUCAUUCGGUGGCCGUCGGAAACGUUACCGCCGACUGCCAGCCCAAGCAUACGCCGGGCCAAAGCGAUCGUUCGGCCGCAGCCCCGCACGACUGUUUUUACCGGGGAUUUUCCCCCUUCUACGGAGCGAGUGUGUGUGUGUGUGUGUGUGUGUGUGGGAGAAAGUGUGCAAUAUUGUUUUUGGGUAUUGUGUCUGGGUUAAAUGGGAUUUUGUUUAUGUAAUUUUAUUUAGUUAAUUUCAAGAUUGUGUUUUGUAAUUUAAGUAAUUUGAUUUUGUUUUGGUUUUCUUUCAUUUUCUUUUUCCUUGUCAGUAGUGAAGUUAUGUGAUUUAUUUAGGCCUGUGACCUGCCCGUGUUUAGUUCUGUUUUGCUUUUGUUUUGAAUGUAUGAAUCCCCACUAAUUUGUUAUUAUCCUCCUCCUGUUUCAGUUGCUGUAGGCCGGUGGUGGUGGUGGUGCUGGUGGUCUGGUGGUGGCAUCCUCCCGUCUUGUCUUGCUGUGUCCCUGGGAGCGGGUUUUCGUCACUGAGAGUGUCUGCCACGUGUGCUUGGUGAUUAUUGUGGUGUUUUUCUUUGGUGGAUCCCUCCCCUGCCCUAGCCUUCGUCCACUCACUUUGGCCUCAGCCCUGUUAAGGUUCUUUUCCCCCCAUUUUUGUUGGUGUGAAUGAGUUUUAUUGAAGUUUUUAGGAUUAUUGUUUAAUAAAAGAAACAUAUGUUAACUUGGAA